CGUGGCAUUAGAUGUAAGACCAUGUUGGGUAGCCCAUGAAAUUAGAUGGAAGACCAUGUGGGGUAGCCCAUGUCAUUGGAUGUAAGACCAUGUGGGGUAGCCCAUGACAUUGGAUGUAAGACUAUGUGGGGUAGCCCAUGACAGUCCUAGGUAAAGACCAUGUCGGGUAGCCCAUGACAUUCUUACAGGUUUUUGUAUGCAUGGCUUAUGUGUUAUAUGUAGCUUCUACAGCGAGCAGGAAGUGUGAUACAUGUAGCUUUUAUAGCUAACAGGAUAUGUGAUAUGUAGAUUGUAUGUAUCGUAUUCUUUGGGAAACUCACUAAGCUUCGUGCUUACAAUUUUGUUUAUGGUUUCAGGAAUCAUUGAUUGGAAAUGAAGGGCUCGGAUUGAUCGCAGUGCACACACUUAUGAUUUCUGCAAUGAAUGAUUUUGGGAACAACUCUGAUAAAUGUUUUACUUAAUGAGGAUUUGGGUCGUUACAUUUCUGCAGUUCAGGCUGAACGUUUCUUCACCAAACUAAUUGAAAAUGAGAUAUGCAGCCAUCAGUGGUCUAGCUGAUUCACACAAACCAAAAAUGGUUAAUGAGAUAAUAAAUAUUAGUCAACCUCUUCGAGAGCAAUACAAGUUGUCUAUGACUGAUGGUGUUCAACAAAUCUUUGACAUGGAUUGAAGGUUGUUAUUUCUAAUGUAAAUGUAAGGCAUGGGCUACUAAUGCUGGUUCCAGAAGUGUUUCAAGUUUUAGGAGGACUGGUUGAGGAGCUGGAUGCAGCAAGGCAAAGACUUUUUAAUGAAGUCAAUAAGCCUCCAAGAGGCAAAAGAACAAGAAUAGGAGUUGCAUCCUCUUUAGCAACUAAAGUCUAGAGCUACUCCGUGCUGAAUGGCCAACUGAUAAUGUCCAUUCUUCAGCUAACACUGUAUCCUAAAGUGCAACUCAAAUACAUGUAAAUGUACAAGGUACUACACCUUCUGUUAAUGGAAGAGUGGCAUCAAAUUCUUCAGUGAACAGACUUGCUCACAAGGAACACAUUUCAGUAUCAUCUAAUAAUCAAGAUGAUCAAGAUAUGUGAAUUCGUAUCCACCUCAUGAAAUUAGUAUGUGCAAUAAAGGAGAUUUGCUCACGUUCACCUGUUGAUAUAAUUAAACAAAUGAAAAAUUUUGUGCCUAAUUUAUGUCUACUACCAAGCUCCAGUUUCUUUUCUUUUUGCCAUUAAGUGUUGUAUAUUUGGAUAUAUGACAAUAAUAUAACUUGGUGAUGUAUGACUUACAAUGUCAUCAUGCUACCAACUUUGUGACUAUCAUCAUUUCUUUGCUUUAAAUAUUUUCUUUAUUAACUUUACCAUGUAUGUAAUAUAGGUACUACUACUAGACCUCUUAAAAUGAUGCAACUCCAAUACACGUAGACAACCUUUACAUGUAAUUUCUUAGUCGAACAUUGGUAGCUUUUUUAGCAUCUUCCAGUAGAAGCAGUAACUUUGCAUUCUAGAUGCCAUGGAUCAAG